GACGAACGCUGGCGGCGUGCUUAACACAUGCAAGUCGAGCGGAAAGGCCCUUCGGGGUACUCGAGCGGCGAACGGGUGAGUAACACGUGAGUAAUCUGCCCUUGGCUUCGGGAUAGCCACCGGAAACGGUGAUUAAUACCGGAUACGACCACUCCUGGCAUCAGGUGGUGGUGGAAAGUUUUUCGGCCAGGGAUGUGCUCGCGGCCUAUCAGCUUGAUGGUGAGGUAAUGGCUCACCAUGGCUUCGACGGGUAGCCGGCCUGAGAGGGUGACCGGUCACACUGGGACUGAGACACGGCCAAGACUCCUACGGGAGGCAGCAGUGGGGAAUAUUGGACAAUGGGCGGAAGCCUGAUCCAGCAACGCCGCGUGAGGGAUGACGGCCUUCGGGUUGUAAACCUCUUUCAGCAGGGACGAAGCGCAAGUGACGGUACCUGCAGAAGAAGCACCGGCCAACUACGUGCCAGCAGCCGCCGUAAAAC
rnacentral:rRNA from 1 species